CCUACGGGGUGCAGCAGUCGAGAAUCAUUCACAAUGGGGGAAACCCUGAUGGUGCGACGCCGCGUGGGGGAAUGAAGGUCUUCGGAUUGUAAACCCCUGUCAUGUGGGAGCAAAUUAAAAAGAUAGUACCACAAGAGGAAGAGACGGCUAACUCUGUGCCAGCAGCCGCGGUAAUACAGAGGUCUCAAGAGUUGUUCAGAAUCACUGGGCGUAAAGCGUGCGUAGGCUGUUUCGUAAGUCGUGUGUGAAAGGCGAGGGCUCAACCCGCGGACGGCACAUGAUACUGCGAGACUAGAGUAAUGGAGGGGAAACCGGAAUGCUCGGUGUAGCAGUGAAAUGCGUAGAUAUCGAGAGGAACACUCGUGGCGAAGGCGGGUUCCUGGACAUUAACUGACGCUGAGGCACGAAGGCCAGGGGAGCGAAAGGGAUUAGAUACCCCAGUAGUC
rnacentral:rRNA from 1 species